rnacentral:tRNA from 1 species
GCCCAAGUGGCGGAAUGGUAGACGCAGGGGAUUCAAAAUCCCCCGCUAGUGAUAGCGUGCCGGUUCGAGUCCGGCCUUGGGUA